rnacentral:rRNA from 1 species
AUUGAACGCUGGCGGCAGGCCUAACACAUGCAAGUCGAGCGGAUGACGGGAGCUUGCUCCUUGAUUCAGCGGCGGACGGGUGAGUAAUGCCUAGGAAUCUGCCUGGUAGUGGGGGACAACGUUUCGCAAGGAACGCUAAUACCGCAUACGUCCUACGGGAGAAAGCAGGGGACCUUCGGGCCUUGCGCGAUCAGAUGAGCCUAGGUCGGAUUAGCUAGUUGGUGGGGUAAUGGCUCACCAAGGCGACGAUCCGUAACUGGUCUGGGAGGAUGAUCAGUCACACUGGAACUUAGACACGGUCCAGACUCCUACGGGAGGCAGCAGUGGGGAAUAUUGGACAAUGGGCGAAAGCCUGAUCCAGCCAUGCCGCGUGUGUGAAGAAGGUCUUCGGAUUGUAAAGCACUUUAAGUUGGGAGGAAGGGCAGUAAGUUAAUACCUUGCUGUUUUGACGUUACCGACAGAAUAAGCACCGGCUAACUCUGUGCCAGCAGCCGCGGUAA